UCGGGAAUUUUGCGCAAUGGGCGAAAGCCUGACGCAGCAACGCCGCGUGAGGGAUGAAGGCCUUCGGGUUGUAAACCUCUUUUCUCGGGGACGAUAAUGACGGUACCCGAGGAAUAAGCCACGGCUAACUACGUGCCAGCAGCCGCGGUAAUACGUAGGUGGCAAGCGUUGUCCGGAUUUACUGGGCGUAAAGAGCGCGCAGGCGGUCGAUUAAGUCGAGUGUGAAAGCCCCCGGCUCAACUGGGGAGGGUCAUUUGAUACUGGUCGACUCGAAGGUGGGAGAGGGAAGUGGAAUUCCCGGUGUAGUGGUGAAAUGCGUAGAUAUCGGGAGGAACACCAGUGGCGAAGGCGACUUCCUGGCCCAUUCUUGACGCUGAGGCGCGAAAGCUAGGGGAGCAAACGGG
rnacentral:rRNA from 1 species